rnacentral:tRNA from 1 species
AAGGGAGACCUAAUUCAGGUAGGAGACGAAAAAAAAGUAGUCCCUACCAAGAAUCAAUCCCAAAAGGUCGGAGCGAGGCAAAAUUGGCUUUCAAACUAGGUUCUGGGUUCACACAAGACCUGAAUCAGGAACAAGGGCUAUUAGCUCAGGUGGUUAGAGCGCACCCCUGACAAGGGUGAGGUCCCUGGUUCGAGUCCAGGAUGGCCCACCUGUACAGGUGGCAAAAACAAAGAAAAGAAGCGAGGAAUCAGCACCUUAUCUUACUUAUAUAGUAAGAGAGAAUGCUGGCUCUGAGUUCAGAGUCCAGAGGAACCUUGAAAACUGCAUAGAGCUAGGUGAAAAAGCCAAAAAAGAAGACCACAA